GAUGAACGCUGGCGGCGUGCUUAACACAUGCAAGUCGAACGGUGAAGGCGGAGCUUGCUCUGCUGGAUCAGUGGCGAACGGGUGAGUAACACGUGAGCAAUCUGCCCCUGACUCUGGGAUAAGCGCUGGAAACGGCGUCUAAUACUGGAUACGAGCUGCGAAGGCAUCUUCAGCAGCUGGAAAGAAUUUCGGUCAGGGAUGAGCUCGCGGCCUAUCAGCUUGUUGGUGAGGUAAUGGCUCACCAAGGCGUCGACGGGUAGCCGGCCUGAGAGGGUGACCGGCCACACUGGGACUGAGACACGGCCCAGACUCCUACGGGAGGCAGCAGUGGGGAAUAUUGCACAAUGGGCGAAAGCCUGAUGCAGCAACGCCGCGUGAGGGACGACGGCCUUCGGGUUGUGAACCUCUUUUAGCAGGGAAGAAGCGAAAGUGACGGUACCUGCAGAAAAAGCGCCGGCUAACUACGUG
rnacentral:rRNA from 1 species